UGUGUCCAGAAAUUAAACAGGGCUUUCAAUUUUCUAAUUAUCUCUUAAUUUUAUUGUUAGAAUUCGUUCAAGUGUUGUAUUCUUUAAAUUGUUCAAUAGAACUGAGCUUUUUCAGUAAAACCACAAGUAAAUGUAGGCAGAGUCUGAACAAAAUUGUAAUGAAUUUUAAAAGCAUGAAUAUAACUAUAAGAAAAUGAUGCAAAUUAAAAAAAUGUACUUUUUUUUAAUUAUAAAUCAGGUCUAAUUCUGUGUUUGAAAACACUUGAUACAAAUGGUGCGUAUUAUAUGGAUUCUUAGUAUAAAAAUAUCAUAAAAUGUACUUAAUCCAUUUCUCCAGAGGUUUAUCAUGUAAGCAGAAACAGUUCAUAUUAAAGUUACCAGGGCAUUAUGAAUCGUCUAAUUUCAAUAUGAACAUGCUUUGUGAAAAAGGGUUUUGAUGCAUGUGCGUAAAGUGACGUCUCAGAUUAGCCUGUGCUAAGGGAUGACGAUUUCAACCCAAACUGGAUUUUUGCAAAGAAGAGACAUUUUUUUAAUAAAAAACAUCAUAAAAGCGGUCAAGUUAUUUGGCGUAAAAAUUGCCUGCUCAAAGAAAGUGAGAAUAUGCACUGUUGUUGAUAUUCUAUGUUUCUUUAUGUUAGUAUGUAUUGGUUUGUUAGUUAUACAGCUGCUGUAUUCUACAAGAUGUUAAUGUAGUUGUGUACUGUAAAAUUGUUUUAAUUUGAGGUGGUUUGAUUUUGCAUAGCUGGUAUCUAAACCCCCGUCCAAAUUCAUUUAUUUACAGCAAAUUAUAUAUGAUGACAAAUAAAAUGGUUAAUCUUACCAAAUGUAAGUACCAUAUAUUUUUACUGUAUAUUCUCUAAUCAAUGACCCUGCGAUUUUUCAAUGAAGAAAAUUUAGCAGGCUCAAAAUUAAAGCUCGGAAAAUAUACUUGCACGUACCUGGCCAAUUUAGACUGUAACCGAAAUUUAUUCCCGCCUCAAAUCCGAUGUUGUAAAACGCGCUCAAAUUACAAUUCUCUUUGGGAAAAAAAUCUUCAAAAUGCUUUUUGAGCAAGAGUUUCGAUAAUAUAGAGGCCAUUUUACAGAAUAUUGACAUAAAUAUUUACAUAAUUAAUUUGAAGAAAAAAAAGCCGACAACGACCAAUUUAGCAUUUGAUUUCCCGGGUAUGUUUCAGUAUAUUUUUCGUAACCGGAGUACAUUUAAAUAUAUUUUAAGAGUACCCAAGGUACAUUUCAGUAUUACCCGAGCCGACAAUGACCAAUCGAGCAAAAUUAACCUUUGAAUGUACUUGUCCACUUGGAAAGUUGCCUUUAACUUGUUACAUUUGAUGUAAAAAAUGUGGCCACCACAAAAUAAUAUAAUUGUUCAGUAAUUUAAACUACAGAUUGGUAAAGCAUUGUUUGUUGAAACAAUACAUUUUUGUUUAAUGCAUAUUUUUAUAACAUGAAAUGUAUCCAUUUUUAUGAAGAUUUAAGAAAAGAAAUAUUUGAAAAGUUAAACUUAGAUUAAUAACAUUUUAAGAUGUUUUCAGUACAAGAGAGAAGUCCAAUCGGUAGAACUCAUUACAAAGAAUAGACUAAAAAGUUAAGAACUCACACAGAAGUUUGUAUAUUUGCGAAAUAAACAGUAUUCUUAUGUCAUCAGCACAUUGAUCUGAAUAUAGAAUGAUGUCACUCAGGGGUGUGGUAUCUUAACCCUUUCAGUGCGGGAACCGAACUUUAAAGGCCUUUGCAAACAGUUUGGAUCCAGAUAAGACGCCACAGAACGUGGCGUCUCAUCAGGAUCCAAACUGUUUGCUAUUCUGAUAGUAUUCUUUGAAAAAAAAAGAAGAAAAUGCUAAUUUUAUAAAUUCAGCAGAAGACAUUUUAGCAGAUGACAAAUUUCCCAGCAUGCAAAGGGUUAAUACUUUGGCCGAGUUCCUCCUUUAGAGUUUAAAAAAGGCUUUACAAAUAGCUCUUAAAAUAUUCUGAUGAAUUCAAUAGUAUAUUUUUGUGUUAUGCAAGUAAUGGAGGUGGAAUAUUUGCAUCACCCAGGUUUCCAAAAUCACCCCUCUGUUAAAUUGGAGGCAUUAAAUGCCUUAUUUAGGCUGAACAUUAAAAAACUUGUUGAACAAUAGUUAAAGAUUUUAAUAACUUGCUCAGUCUAAAAUUUGUAAGUGAAUACAGACACUGGUCCUAUUGUAUUUAUGUACCAACCACAAUGCAGUAGAGAGGGUACUACACUAGAUUUACCAUGCACAUCUGUCUGUCUGUUAGUAGACACAAACUUGUUCGACCUAGUACUCCUACAUGUUUGAAUGUGCAAAGGUGUGCAUUUUGUGGAAUGCAUUUCCCUACAUUUAAAAAUGCUUAAGUUGCGACAGUUUUUUAUUCGAAUUUUGAUAUGACUUCCUAUAAAAUAUGACUUAAGUGCUCGGGGUGUGUCUCAUGUAUUUGUACAGCGACAGCUUUUGUUUUAAAUUCAUAUUGGAUGCCCUUUUCCUAGCAAAGAAACUCUUUAACCCAUUUAUGCCUAGUGUCUAGGAAAAAAGGCCUUGGCAAACAGCGAAGACCCAGAUGAGAUGCCGCAUGAUGCGGCGUCUCAUCAGGGUCUGCGCUGUUUGCUUAAAGGAAUUUCUGUACGAAAUAAUAAAUAUAGAAAUUAAUAUACUAGACAUCCCUAAUUUUGGAAAUUAAUUGAUCCAAUUUAGAAGGAUGGGAGAGUGCACUAGGCAUAAAUGGGUUUAAAUGUUCCUGUUUAAGUUUAAGCUUAUUUUGUAAAAACAGAGUUUCUUUAUCAAAGUCUUCUCAUGUUGUUUUAUUAUUUUGGAUAAUUUUGUGUAUGUCAAAUAUGAAUUAUUAUACAGAAAAGUGCAUUUUAUUUAUGUAAUAUUACUAUGCCACUUAAAAUUUUAAGACUCUCAUAUGGACCUUUGUUGACAUGGCCCUUGUCAAAUAUAUGAGAUUUUCUUUUACAAUUUAAACUGUUGAGUCUUUAGGAAAUAUAUAUUUUUCUUAUAAUAAAAAACUAUUGUAUUCAUCAUCACUCUGUUGUUACUGCAUCAUCAUUGUCAUCAUAAAUAUGUCCUCUUUUUCAUUACAAUCAUAACAUCAUAAAUUUUUGUUGUAACUGUAAAUAAAUGUAAUUGAAAAA